ACACCCCCCUUUACAUUCACUAUUCCUCACACAAACAAGUAGCCGUUAGAGAGAGAGGGAGGGAGCCAGGAGGUGGAACACGAGAACAUACUCCUGCAUAUUGCGAGAGAGGAGGUGAUUUAUUGUGGCUCAUGCUUCAACGGAGAUAAUGGUGGCUUUCAUGGCGAUUAAGACGCAUCCGAUGAUCCAGACUGUAAGCAUUGCAUUAAAUCUGUUACUGAUUUGAUUCGUAUUCAUCGCAAUAAACUGUAAGCAUUGGACCUGAUCCCAAACGUGGCGUUGCUCUCUUCUCGAUCGCUGCUCCAUUGAGAAAACAGAAGGUCCCCUCAAAUAAGACCUAUGGAAAGGCUAGAAAGGCAGCCUAGUCGAAGCCGCUCUGUCUAUGGAAGAUAAUUUGGUAAGUACCAUGAAAGCUCCCACUAACAUUUGGAUCUUUUUUGUACGAAAUAUUCUUUACAGCUCUCAAACCUCCUGCAUAGUGCUUCAUAUCUAUGCUGGAUUUAUUAAAGGCAGAAAAAUUGUCCUGGGUAGAUAUCUUUCUCUUUUAGUUGAACUUAAAUCACUUCUUUCUUUAAGUAAGUUGAAUAAUUUGAUUGCGGAUUUUAGGAUCAAUGUUCCUGUAUAAUUUUUUUGUAACUUUGGAAUUUGUCUGGCCAAAUAUUCAUUACUAUGAUCUUAAAAAGUAGUCACUCUUUGCAUUAACAGAUAUUGACAACAGCAUUAUGAUAACUACUGUGCUGUCCAGGAACCAACACGUAUACUCAUUAGAAGCUGUUUUGUCUUCUGUGACUCAACUGUCUUCAACCACUAUAUUUUCUUUCUGUUUGUUGCUCUAUCUAUGUCACGCAAAACACAGCAAUACUAUUAAAACUAAUUUCAUUUUCUAGAGAGAAAUUGACUAGUGAAUAAUGUUAAAGAUGGCUUUUUGGGUACUAGUACCACAAGUGUUCUAAUCCUUUCAUCAUUGUUGUUGAACCAUCUUUCCAGAGUCUUACAACAGUGAAUAUUCCUGGCUCAUCUUUUGCACAUCAUAUUAUAUUAUUCUUAUUUCAUUUUUCUGUUUAAAUGAGAUAAGACAUGUGAAGUGGCUAGAAAUGCAGCCUAGUCAGAGACUGCUCUGUCUAUGGAAGAUACUUUGGUAUAUAUACCUUGCUGGUACUAGAGCGAGACUCAUGAAAGCUCCCACUAACAUUAGGAUCUUUUUUUGCAUGAAAUAUUAUUUACAGCUCUCAACCCUCCUACAUGGCGUUUCAUAUCUUAGUUAGAUGCAUGAAAGGCAGAAAAAUUGUCCUGGGUAGUUAUCUUAGUUGAAUUUUAAAUCACUUCUUUCUUUAGGGAAGGUGAAUAAUUUGAUUGCAGAUUUUAGGAUAAUUGCUCUUGUAUAAUUUUUUAUAUGUAAGAAUUUGUAGGCCCAAAUAUUAAUUACUAUGAUCUUGAAAGGCAGUCACUCUUGGCAUUAACAAUUAUUGACAAGUGCUGUAUAUUGAUAAUUACUUUGCUAGCAAGGCAUCAAUAGUUAUAAUCGUUAGAAUCUGUUUUUUCUUCUGAAUCAGUUGUCAUCAACAAUUUUAUUCUUUUUGUUAUUCUCUUUAUAGCUUUAUAGAUCAAGCACUUUGUCAUUUUACUUAGGUUGUUCGAUUGUCGUGUUAUAUGACUCUAUCCUUCACUAACUUUAAUUGAUCAAUUUUCCUUUUUGUUAUUUUUAUUUUUUGGAUUUAAGUCAGCUGAAAUGUUCCUGAUUUUUUUAUUAUCUAUAUUGUUUUCUUUGAAGCAUGUAUUCACUAUGCAUACAUGAGGUGCUUUAUUUUCUCUUUAACACUUGUAUUUAAUUUUUAAGGCAUAUUAUGCUGUUAUUUGAUAGUUCCUUCACUUUUGUGCCUAUAUAUCAGUGUUUUAUGAUUGCAUUUUCAUAUUGUUAUCUUUUUUUCUUUGUCAAUCCACUGAAAAUGAUCUCAUGAAAAACCUUUUUUCCUUUAUAUGCGGAGAAAUAUUCCGUGGCCCAUAUUUAGGUCUUUUUCUGUAUGAAAUAUUAUUUACUCCUCUUAAACCACCUACAUGGCUCUUCAUAUAUAUCUUGGACGUAUGAAGGGCAAGAAAAAUUGUCUUGGGCGGUUAUCCUUCUGUCUUCAAGUUGAAGUUGAAUCACUUUUUUUGUAAGGUACGGUGAAUUCAGAUUUGGGAUCGAUGCUGUUGUAUAAUUUUUUAUAUGUUAGAAUUUUUCUUGCCAAAAUAUAUAUAUUUUAUAGCUCAAAGGAUUUAGGAAAAAGCUGAAGUCAUGGAGAGUUGAGUCCCGAUAAAUUCUCCCGACAAUUUUUUUUAUUUUUAUUUAGUGAUUAAAGAAGUAUUUUUUAAUCAUAUUAUAAAUUUUUUAAAAAUAUUUAAGUGCAUAAAAAAAUGAAUAAAAAAAAAAAAAAGACAAUUGGCUUUAUCGGGGCCACCAUCGGGCUACACCCUCGGUUGGUGUAGCAUGACUCAAGGAUUUAUAGAGAUGGAGCUACUUGCGAGGCACUAACUUCUGGCUAAAUAUUUAUUACUAUGGUCUGGAACGUAGCCACUCUUUGCAUGAGCAGUUAUAACUGCAUUAUGAUAACCAUUAUGCCAUCAUCAUCAAGUAUACAUGUUAUAAGCGGUUUUGCCUCCUGUGAGUGAGCUGUCUUCAAUCAUUAGGUUUUAUUUCUUUUUUGAUAAGUAUUAAGAUAAUUUUAUUUCAAAGAAAUAAGUAUAGUCUAAGUACACAGAAAAUAUAUAAGAAAAAACACCUAAUUUUUCUCUUGAGUUCAACUCCUUUCUUUCUCUAGGUAAGAUAAAUAAUUUGAUUGCCAAUUAUGUAUUGUUAAUUUAGUUAUCUCCUUUGUGGUUAUUCCUAUACUUAUUAAUUUCUCCUCCAUCUCUUCCUCUACUUAUCCUCUCUAUUCUACUCAUCCUCUUUUCCUUCUCUAUUUCAUCUCCUCCUCUCUCUUCUCCUUUUUUUGCUCGUGCUGCUCGUCCUACUCCUCUUUCUCUCUUUUGCUUGUACAAUUUGUCCCCCUCCUCUCUUCCUCAUCGUAUUUGUCUUUGUCUUCCUCCUCUCUUCUUUGUCCACAUCCUCCACUUCUCUUCCUCAUCCUCCAUCUAGAUGUACUAUCUACAUAUUUAGUAUGGUUUUAAACUUUUAAAGAUUAGUUUAUUUUUUGUUAGAUGUGAUUAUAACUUUGGUUUUCCUUUUCAUUUCUUACGGGUUUUUUAAUAUAAUAGUUACAAAAGUUUGAGAGUUCUAGAUGAGGCCUUACACAUCCUUGCAACCUCGAAUCGACUGGUGUACUAGCAAGUCUUCGGGCUUGAUCCUUACGCGAUGAAUGCACUUUGUAUAUAGUUAGUUAUCUAUGUCUCCAAGUUUAAAUCACUUUGUUCUUUAUGUGAUUGCCGAUUACGCAUUUAUUGUUAAUUUAGUUGUCUUGUUUAUGGUUAUUCUUAUAGUAUUUUUUAUAUUCUUGUUAUUAUUAAUUUCUCUUACUCCUUAUAUUCACCCUCCUCUCUUACUCUCCUCAUCCUACACCUCAUCUUUUCAUCCUAUAUUCCUCUCCUUGUACUCCUCUUAUGCUCGUACUCCUGGUCAUACUACUCCUCUUUUUGUCCUAAAUUCCUAUCCUCCUCCUUCAUCUCUUCCUCUCCUCGUACUCUUCGUCCUAGUCCUCUUCUCUUCCAGUUCUUCCCGUCCUCUUUGUCCUACUCCUAUCUCCCUCACUGUCCUCAUCUUCCCCUUCUCAUCCUUGUUCAUGCCCUUUCCUCUUCCUCCUUCACCUUUUUUUAGAUGUACUAUCUUUAUAGUAUAUUUUAAGAGAUCAUUUUGUUUUUGGUCAAAUAUGAUUAGAAUUUGGUAUUUCUUUUUGAAUUCUCUUGGAUUUUUAAUAUAAUAGCAACAAAAACUUGAGAUUUGUAUUCCUUACACAUCCCACAACCUCGAUUGGAUUGGUGUGUUGACUAGGCUUUGGCCUUGAUCCUUAUGCGACGAACGCUCUCUAUAUAUAUGUGAUAUUUUUAUACUCACAUUUUUGUUAUAUAAAACGUUAUUUAUAUAGCUUUAAGUGCUCCCUAACAUUUGAAACUUUUUUGUAUGAAAUUUUAUUUGCAGCACUUCACCCUCCUACAUGGUGUUUCAUAUCUAUGGUAGAUGUAUGAAAGGCAAAAAGUAUGUCUUGGGUAGUAAGUUAUAUUUUUAUUCUAGUUGUUCUUUCUUCAAGUAAGGCGAAUAACUUGAUUGUUGAUUAUGUAUUUAUUUUUUAAUUUAGUUGUCUCGUUUAUGAAUACUUCUAUAGUAUUUUUUAUAUCCUUGUUAUUGUUAAUUUCUCAUACUCUUAUCAUUCUCCAUCUUCCUUUUCUCAUCCUCGUUCACGUUCUCUUCUCUUCCACCUCCAGCUUUUUCUACAUGUACUUUUUUAUAGUAUAUUUUUAGAUAUCACUUUGUUUUUGUUCAAAUGUAUGAAGGGCGAAAAAUAUGUUUUGGGUAGUUAGUUAUAUCUCUCUUCUUGUUGCACUCACUUUUUUCUUCUGUUAAGGUAAUAACUUGAAUGACCAUUACACAUUUAUUUUUUCUUGUGUUUUCUUUUGUUAAACCAUUUUUUGACUUAUCAAAAAAAAAAAAAAAAUUGUCUCAUUAUGGUUAUUGUUAUGGUAUUUUUUUAGAUUAUUGUUAUUGUUAAUUUUUCUUACUCUUCGCCUUCUCCCCAUCUCUUCCUCUCUUCUCGCUCCUUUUUUUCUCCUAUAUUCCUUUCUCUCACCUCCCCUCAUCUCCUCGUACUCCCCAUCCUACUCCUCUUCCUCUCUUCCUGUUCUCAUUGUCCUUUCGUGCUACUUCUUUCUUCUUCACCGUCUUCGUCUUCGUCUUCUCAUCCUCAUUCAUGUCCUCUUUUAUUUCACUACCACCUUUUUUAGAUGUACUAUUUUUAUAGUAUAUUUUGAGAGAUCACUUUGUUUUUUCUCAUAUGUGAUUAGAAUUUUGUUAUUGCUUUUUCAAUUCUCUCAAAUUUUUAAUAUAAUAGCAACUAAAUCUUGAGAUUUGUAUUCCUUACGCAUCCUUGCAACCUCGAUUGGAUUGGUGUGUUGGCUAGACUUUGGCCUUGAUCCUUAUGCGAUGAAUGCUAUAUGUAUAUAUGUGAUAUUUAAUACUUACAUUUUUCUUAUAUGAAAUGUUAUUUAUAACUUUGUAUGCUCUCAAACAUUUGAGACUUUUUUGUAUGAAAUUUUAUUUGCGGCACUUCAACAUCCUACAUGCUGUUUCAAAUCUACAUUGGAUGUAUGAAGGGCAAAAAGUAUGUCUUGGAUAGUUAGUUAUUUCUCUAUUCUAGUUGCAACAGCUUACUUCUUUUCUUCAGGUAAGGUGAAUAACUUAAUUGUUGAUUACACAUUCACUUUUUAAUUUAGUUGUCUCGUUUAUGGUUAUUUCUAUAGUAUUUUUUAUAUACUUGUUAUUAUUAAUUUCUCCUACUCUUUUCAUUAUCUGUCUUGUCUUCCUUUCGUCGUCAUCCUAGUCAUCUUUUCUUCCUAUAGUCCUCUCCUCCUCCCUCUUCUCCUCAUCCCACUCUUCCACUCUUCCUUUUCGUCCUCUUCGUCCUACUCCACUCUUCAUCGCCAUCUUCGUCUUCGUUUUCCUCUUCUCUUCCACCUCCAUCUUCUUGUCUUUGUUCAUGUCCUCUUCUCGUCCUCUUCCUCUUCGUCCUACUCCACUCUUUGUCACCGUCUUCAUCUUCCUCUUCUCGUCCUCGUUAACGUCCUCUUCUCUUCCACCUCCAUCUUUUUCUAGAUGUACUUUUUUUGUAGUUUAUUUUUAGAUAUCACUUUGUGUUUGUUCAAAUGUUUUAAGGGGAAAAAAUAUGUCUUGGGUAGUUAGUUAUCUCCCUCUUCUAGUUGCACUCACUUCUUUCUUCUGCUAAGGUAAUAACUUCAUUGACGAUUACAUAUUUAUUUUUCUAAUUUAGUUGUCUUGUUAUGGUUAUUCUUAUAGUAUUUUUUAAAAUUUUUGUUAUUAUUGAUUUUUCCUACUCUUCUCCUUCUCCCCCCGUCUCUUCCUUUCCUCCUGCUCCUCCUCUUUACCUCCUUUAUUCAUUUCCUCUCACCUUUCCUCCGCUCCUCGUACUCCUCGUCCAAAUCAUCCUCCUCUCUUCCUGCUCUCACCGUCCUCUUCAUGCUAUUCCUCUCUUCCUCAGCAUCUUCGUCUUCUCAUCCUCAUUCACGUCAUCUUCUAUUUCACUUCCACCUUUUUCUAGAUGUACUAUUUUUAUAGUAUAUUUUUAGAGAUCAUUUUAUUUUUGUUCAAAUGUGAUUAGAAUUUCGUUAUUGCCUUUUCAAUUCUCUCAGGUUUUUAAUAUAAUAGCAACCAAAGCUUUAGAUUUGUAUUCCUUAUGCGUCCCUACAACUGCGUCGGGAUUGGUGUGUUGGCUAGACUUUAGUCUUAAUCCUUAUGCAACGAAUGCUCUUUGUAUAUCGGUGAUAUUUUUAUACUCGCUUUUUUUUUUAUAUAUAAAAUGCUAUUUAGAAUUUUGUAUGCUCCCUAACAUUUAAGACUUUUUUGUUUGAAAUUCUGUUUGCAGCAUUUACAUGGCGUUUUAUAUCUAUGUUAGAUGUAUGAAGGGCAAAAGAAUGUCUUGGGUAGUUCAUUAUCUCUCUAUUCUAGUUGAACUUACUUCUUUCUUCAACUAAGGUGAAUAACUUGAUUGUUGAUUACUCAUUUAUUUUUUAAUUUAGUUGUCUUGUUUUUGUUAUUCCUAUAGUAUUUUUAUGUCCUUAUCAUUAAUUUCUCCCAUUUUUCUCUUUCUCCGUCUCAUCUUCCUCUCGUCGUCCUAGUCCUCAUUUCCUCCUAUAUUCCUCUCCUCGCUCCUCUUUUCCUCUCCUCUCGUUAUCCUACUUCUACUCUUUUCAUCCUAUAUUCAUCUCCUCGUCCUACUCCUUUUCUCUUCCUCCUCUCACCGUCCUCUUCGUCCAACUACUAUCUUCCUCGUCGUCUUCAUCUUCGUCUUCUUGUACUCGUUCAUGUCCUCUUCUUUUCCCACUCCACCUUCUUCUAUAUGUAUUUUCUUUAUAGUAUAUUUUAGAGAUCAUGUGAGAUGUGAUUAAAAUUUUGUAUUCAUUUUUCAAUUCUCUAGGAUUUUUAAUAUAAUGGCAACCAAAGCUUGAGAUUUGUAUUCCUUACGCAUCCCUGCAACCUUCGGCCUUGAUCCUUAUGCAAUGAACGCUCUCUUUAUAUAUGUGAUAUUUUUAUACUCACAUUUUGGUUGUAUAAAAUGCUAUUUAAAACUUUGUAUGCUCUCUAACGUUUGAGACUUUUUAUAUGAAAUUUUAUUUGCAGCGCUUCACCCUUCUACAUGGCAUUUCAUAUCUACGUUGGUUGUAUGAAAGGCAAAAAGUAUGUCUUGGGUAGUUAGUUAUCUCUCUCUUUUAGUUGAACAGACUUCUUUCUUCCUGUAAGGGACCCUUUGGAAUGACACAACAAACAACAGGCUUUGGCACAAGUCGCAUCUUAGAUUGGACAAAUCCUUCAGCCUUGAUCCUUAUCUGAUAACUUCUCUUUAUAUAUCGGUGAUAUUUUUAUACUCACAUUUGUUUUUGAAUAAAAUGUUAUUUAGAACAUUGUAUGCUCUAUAGCAUUGGAGACUUUUUUGUAUGAAACUUUAUUUGUAGCACUUCACCAUACUAUGUGGCAUUUCACAUAUAUACUGAAUGUAUGAAGGGUACAAAAAUUGUCUUGGAUA